UACGGAGGGUGCGAGCGUUAAUCGGAAUUACUGGGCGUAAAGCGUGCGCAGGCGGUUUGUUAAGUCUGCUGUGAAAUCCCCGAGCUCAACUUGGGAAUUGCAAUGGAUACUGGCAGGCUGGAGUAUGGUAGAGGAAGGUGGAAUUCCCGGUGUAGCAGUGAAAUGCGUAGAGAUCGGGAGGAACACCAGUGGCGAAGGCGGCCUUCUGGACCAAUACUGACGCUCAUGCACGAAAGCGUGGGGAGCAAACAGG
rnacentral:rRNA from 1 species